GUUAGGCUCUCCCGCCGGCAUGGAGUGCAUGGCUGCUUCCAUUCUUCUGCUUUUUUCCACACUCUCCUCCAACGACACGAAUCGGCAACAUGCGGAUGAGGUACAUAGAAAGAACACACCUACUCGAUGGCUAGACUACACAGAGGAGAGUAGAGGAGGAAAACCAAAAUCCUUACCAAAUCGAAGUGGAGGAAUAGUCGAUGCUACAUGUCGAGGAUUUCAGUACCAGCCACCACCAAACUGUUGACACCGUAAUUGAGAUAGCUGCGAUGGAGCAGGGUAUAUGAGCUUGAUAUCAAAGAACACAGAAGUAUGAUUCUUCCUGAACCUGAGCAUGUACACAGAAAGAAAAUCGCUACCCGAUGGCCAGACUACACAGAGCAGCAGAGCAGAGGAGGAAAACGAAAAUCAUUACCAAACCGAAGUCGUGGAAUAGUCGAUGCUGCAUGUCGAGGGUUUCAGUAACGGCCACCGCCAUUCCGUUGACACCAUACUUGAGAUAGCCGCGAUGGAACAAGGUACACAGAAAUAAAACCACUACUCAAUGGCCAUACUACACAGAGCAGCAGAGCAGAGGAGGAAAAGCAAAAUCCUUACCAAAUUGAAGUCAAGAAAUAGUAGAUGCUGCAUGUUGAGGGUUUCAGUAACAACCACCGCC